rnacentral:rRNA from 1 species
UACGUAGGGUGCGAGCGUUAAUCGGAAUUACUGGGCGUAAAGCGUGCGCAGGCGGUUCGUUGUGUCGGCGGUGAAAGCCCCGGGCUUAACCUGGGAAUGGCCGUUGAAACUGGCGAACUGGAGUGUGGCAGAGGGGGGUGGAAUUCCGCGUGUAGCAGUGAAAUGCGUAGAGAUGCGGAGGAACACCAAUAGCGAAGGCAGCUCGCUGGGACGUUACUGACACUGAGGAGCGAAAGCGUGGGGAGCAAACAGG